rnacentral:lncRNA from 1 species
CUCACAGAACCCUAACCUAUCUUUUUAGGGGACUGUUUUAGUCAGCUUUUUUGCUACUGUGACUAAAGAACCUGGCCACCACAAUUGUAGAGGAGAAAGGGUUUAUUCGGGGGCUCACAGUUUCAGAGGUCUUAGUCCGUAGAAGGUAGGCUCCAUUCCUUGGGGCUCGAGGUGAAGCCAAACAACAUGGCAGAAGACUGUGGCAGAGAGAAGCAACUCACAUGGUGAUGAGAAACCAGAGGGACAGAGACUCCACUCUCCAGAUGCAAAUAUAUACUCAAAAGCCACACCCUACCACUUCAGUUACCACUCAGUUAAUCCCUGUCAGGGGAUUGAUUCACUGAUUGGGUUAAGACUCUUACAACCCAAUCAUUUCUCCUUCUCGCAUGGCCUCACAUGUGGGUUUUUGGGGGGACACCUCACAUCCAAACCAUAACAAGGAGUCAGUAAUUAUGCAAAGGUUGGGCUUGUGUUCAAGUAGCUUAAAUAAUUAAGAUCAUGUACAAAAGAAAAAAUGAGAAAUGGUGCAGAACCAAGAGCCAAAACAAUCUACACAGAUCCCCUUUACCAGGAGGAAAUUCUAUCAGCAGAGGAGCAGUUCUCAGAUGCUUAUCAACCCUGACUGAGCGUCAAUAGUUCUUUCACUGUACCUUCUUUUUGGGUGGUGAUGAGCUCAGAGAGGCAGCCAUGGACUUGGAGUGG